AUGCUCACUUCAGCAGCACAUAUACUAAAACUGGAAUGGUACAGAGAAGAUUAACAUGGCCCCUGUGCAAGUAUGACAUACAAAUUCAUGAAGCAUUCCGUAGUUUU
ensembl:snRNA U6 U6 spliceosomal RNA